rfam:Clostridium sp. Maddingley MBC34-26 contig_278_4, whole genome shotgun sequence.
GGGCUUAUAGCUCAGCUGGUUAGAGCGCACGCCUGAUAAGCGUGAGGUCGAUGGUUCGAGUCCAUUUAAGCCCA